AGUGCCUUGUCUUUGAAUAUAGUGCUCCACUACUCUCUCUCUGGCUAAACUUAAAAGUAGAAUAUCUUGUGAACUAGUUGACAGAAAUCAAAAAUUCCAACACCAACAUUUAUUGUAACUAUUACUCAGUCUGUUUAUGUUAUUUUUAAUAUAGGUUUUUAUUUGAAAAACCAAAAUUGGUAUCGCCACAGGAUACUCUUUAAACAUUGUCAAAUAUCUAAGUAUAUGAAAAUAUCGUCUUAAACAACACUUAACAAUUCCUAAACUCAGAAUUUGCAUACA